rnacentral:snRNA from 9 species
AUACUCACCUGGCGUAGGGAUACCGUAACCAUGCAGGCAGUUCCCCAGGGUGAGGCUGAUCCGUUGCACUGCGGAGUGGUUGACCCUUGUGAUUAUUUUUAUUUUUUAUGAGUUACACUUCUACCCUGUGUGAGUUGCACCCAAACACAUUUUUUUUUUACAAUAAAAUAAUUUUUUUACACUAUUUUUAA